ACUCGAGCGGCGAACGGGUGAGUAACACGUGAGCAACCUGCCCCUGACUCUGGGAUAAGCCCGGGAAACUGGGUCUAAUACCGGAUACGACCGCCCCCGGCAUCGGGUGGUGGUGGAAAGUUUUUCGGUUGGGGAUGGGCUCGCGGCCUAUCAGCUUGUUGGUGGGGUAGUGGCCUACCAAGGCGACGACGGGUAGCCGGCCUGAGAGGGCGACCGGCCACACUGGGACUGAGACACGGCCCAGACUCCUACGGGAGGCAGCAGUGGGGAAUAUUGCGCAAUGGGCGAAAGCCUGACGCAGCGACGCCGCGUGGGGGAUGACGGCCUUCGGGUUGUAAACCUCUUUCAGCAGGGACGAAGUUGACGUGUACCUGCAGAAGAAGCGCCGGCUAACUACGUGCCAGCAGCCGCGGUAAUACGUAGGGCGCAAGCGUUGUCCGGAAUUAUUGGGCGUAAAGAGCUCGUAGGUGGCUUGUCGCGUCGGAUGUGAAAGCCCGCAGCUUAACUGCGGGUCUGCAUUUGAUACGGGCAGGCUAGAGGUAGGUAGGGGAGAACGGAAUUCCUGGUGUAGCGGUGAAAUGCGCAGAUAUCAGGAGGAACACCGGUGGCGAAGGCGGUUCUCUGGGCCUUACCUGACGCUGAGGAGCGAAAGCGUGGGGAGCGAACAGGAUUAGAUACCCUGGUAGUCCACGCU
rnacentral:rRNA from 1 species